AUUGAACGCUGGCGGCAGGCCUAACACAUGCAAGUCGAGCGGCAGCGGGAAAGUAGCUUGCUACUUUUGCCGGCGAGCGGCGGACGGGUGAGUAAUGCCUGGGAAAUUGCCCAGUCGAGGGGGAUAACAGUUGGAAACGACUGCUAAUACCGCAUACGCCCUACGGGGGAAAGCAGGGGACCUUCGGGCCUUGCGCGAUUGGAUAUGCCCAGGUGGGAUUAGCUAGUUGGUGAGGUAAUGGCUCACCAAGGCGACGAUCCCUAGCUGGUCUGAGAGGAUGAUCAGCCACACUGGAACUGAGACACGGUCCAGACUCCUACGGGAGGCAGCAGUGGGGAAUAUUGCACAAUGGGGGAAACCCUGAUGCAGCCGUGCCGCGUGUGUGAAGAAGGCCUUCGGGUUGUAAAGCACUUUCAGCGAGGAGGAAAGGUUGAUGCCUAAUACGUAUCAACUGUGACGUUACUCGCAGAAGAAGCACCGGCUAACUCCGUGCCAGCCGCCGCAGUAAAAC
rnacentral:rRNA from 1 species